rnacentral:rRNA from 1 species
AUGCGCCAGAUGCGGAGAUGCAGAGUGUUGGCUGAGGAGUUGCUGCGUCCACGAGCUGGAACCGGCAAGGAGGCGUGCAGCCACCGUGGUCGGGCGAUGCUGGAACCGGCAAGGAGGCGUGCAGCCACCGUUGUCGGGAGAUGCUGGAACCGACAAGGAGGCGUGCUGCCACGGUGGUCGCGCGAUGCUGGAACCAGUAAGCCGAUUUGCUGGAACUGGUGCCCGAUUUGUCGCAUACGCGGGAGCACGCCGGCAUUGCUGCAGCCUACUACAAAGGCGGAUAAGACGAAAGCUGGAACCAGCAGGCCGAUUUGCUGGAACCGGCUGUCAGUUUUGUUGCAUAUGGCGGAGCACGCGUGCAGGACGGCACAGCGGAAGCUGGAACCGGCGAUAGCCGUGUUGCGACGGCCGCGACGACGAUCCGCCGUUGCUGGAACCAGCACUUUUUUUUUGUUGGAAGCAGCGAUUUAUUUUGCUACGACCCGAUGA